GAUUUACAGAUUGAAGGCGAUGCAUUAAAAAUGUAAUUUAUCAUCGACGAUGAAAACCAGUCAGCUACACAUAGUGCUGUCCUGUCUGUUGUUCGCUGCAUUUAUAUCGAGCAAAGACGUGAACAGGACCAUGUAUUCAAACGGUCUUUUACAUAGGGUACCUUCACCUGGGGAGAAGUCGCACGUGUCUUCGAAAUCCCGCGUAAAACGUUCAGCAACUAAGACAGAGAACUGGACUAUCGACGCAAGUUGCAACUGCUGCCAAAGCUACUGUACACUAGAGUCAUUUUCCGAAGCCUACAACCUUACGUCCGGCAAGUGUCCAGUAGGUCAGAUGUGCUGCCUAAACAAACAAAGCCCUAUUCAGUGGACGACACAGAAUUGCUCAACUUCAGGUCACAAGUUAUAUUAUCUUUUGAAAAUAAACUGUAAUAUUUUUGAUCGAGGGUUAUAUAAAUACAAUUUAUAUAAUUUUAAAGCCAUAUAUAUACAAAGUAUAUACAAUAUUUUUGAUAGAAAAACAGACACUUAUAUUUGGGCUCGGAUUCAUAAAUAUGCUGAGAUAUCGUCAUUUAUAAACAAGAGGGUUAUGAUGACCCUAGAUCGCUCACCUGAAUAAUAUUAGCUACAUGUUACAAAUGCCAAACUGAUGCUAAAAUAUUAAGAAAGUAGGUCGGUAGGUCACAUUCAUGGUCACUGAAAGCCAGUUUUAAGAUCGGUGUGAAAAACAGUAUAUGUCUUCCAAAUUUCAAGACUCUAUCUUAAAAACAAAGAAGUAGGUAAGUAGGUCAAGGUCAAAGUCAAGUGACACCUUAUUACUUGGGGCAAUCAGGUAAUUAUAACUAAACAGUCUAGGAAAUAUGAUCAGAUAUAUUUUGAAGAAUUUUUCCCUAUAUAACUCAUAUAACAAAGUGACCCCGGGGCAGGGCCUCUUUUUACCCCGGGGGCAUUAUUUGAUCAAUCUUGUAAGAGAACCACUAAGCAAUGCUACAUACCAAAUAUCAAAGGUGUAGGUCUCGAACCUUCAGACAAGUAGAUUUUUAAAGCCUUUUUUUAUGUAAAACUUGUAACCCCCGGGACGGGGUCUCUUUUCACUCCAGGGUAAUAACUUGAACAAUCUUGGUAGAGAACCACAAGGCAAUGCUACAUAACAAAUACCAAAGGCCUAGGUCUUGUGGUUUCAGGCAAGAAAAUUUUUAAAACAUUUUCCUAUGUAGGUUUAUGUAAAACUGUUUACACCCCAGGGGCAUAAUUCGAAUAAUCUUCAUAGAGAACUAUUAGAUGAUGUCACAUGCCAAAUAUCGAAGAUCUACGCCUUGCAGGUUUGGGCAAGAAGAUUUUUAAAGAUUUCUGUUCUGUAUUGAUUUCAAUUCUUUGGGCAAUUUUGAAAGGAGGCCACCAAAGGAUCAUGCCUGUGAAGUUUGGUGUAAAUCUGCUUAGUGGUUUUGAAGAAGAAGAUU